GUUUCCAAAGUGUAGUGGUCAUCAUGUCUGCUUUACAGGCAGAAAGUCCUUGGUUCAUUCCCCAGUGGAACCA
rnacentral:tRNA from 1 species